AUUCAGUCGACGGGUCCCAAAUAGGACGAAAUGCGAGUCCUUAAU
rnacentral:hammerhead_ribozyme from 1 species